AUUAGUUCUAUAAGUCCUUGGAUUGUCUACAUUUGAAAUUAGUCUCAGAUGUAUAUAGGAGAAUAGUAGAAAAGAUACAGAGACACAAACUGGCUAUUUGAGGAGAAGCUAGACAGAUUUUAAUUCUUAACAGUUUCAAAGUGAGACAUCAAGGGUAGAUAUUGGCUUAUGACUAAUGUUCAUAAAAUCACAAAUGCUCUGUGGGGAAAGUACAAAGUUAUUUUAUCUUUUUUCACAGUUAACAAAUAACUAUCAGAGGCCACUGGAAGAAAAUCUCAGGAAGUAGAUUUAAAGCAAAGUGAUGAUGAAUCAUUCUGUAUUAAAAUGUAUGGUUAAACUAUUAACUCAUUGCCAGAAUAUAUUGUGGAGGUCAGAUAUUCUUAAAACAGUCCUUGAUGAACAAGCUGGUGCUUGGAAAGUUCCAAGGAUGACAGCAAGAAGAGGUAAUGCCAGGAGGAAGAUACUAUUCUAUUUCAUUGCUCAGACAAAAAUCAAUAGCAUCUGCUAUUAAUGCUACUGGAGAUGCAGUGUGUGUUUUCUUUGCUCUUUGUAUGAAAUAGAGUGUGUGAGCAGAUCACAAGGCCAGACCUUCACUCAUUUUCAACCAGAGUGAUCAUACAUAGGAACACAGAGUUCAAAUUCAUUCUCUGUAACUCAUGAUAUUAAACUAUUUUGAACGGAACUGCAAAAGAAGGAGAUGCAAUUUGAUUUUUAUCCUAUCAAAUCUUUCACCAAAUGUUGGAUUAUCUGAACGAAGGGCGAUCCUUUGUUCCUUUGCAAAUGGAGCCAUUGAAAUGGUCGCUAAGUUUACCACGUUCUGCCCUCCAUCAUCUCCCACCCUGCAGGCUCAGCAGCAGCAGCUAGCUUGAAAACAAGAACUUACGAAUGAGAAAAGGGUGGAGGACUUCCUCCUAAGGCAAAGCUGUAUUUCUCCAAGAACCUCCUGAGUAUAAUAACAUUAACAAAUACGUGAGUUGAGAUAUUGUCACCUCUUUCAUGUGUCUGUCCAUACUUUUGUUAAUAAUUUUGCUUAAACUAUUGUCCUGGCUUCAAUUUCAAGUCAUUUUACUUUAAUUCACUGUACGCCUUUUAACCAGGCUCUGAGCACUUUGGAGUUAAUCUAGGGUGUUUUGAUCAGACAGUAAUUGCCAUAAAGCUUUCCCUAAACUUUUCAGACAUUGAACUGGUAUUUUUACAGUCAAUGUUGAAUCUCUGCUGGUUGUAAUCCACAGCAGUGCACCUGGAUGCAAUUGUGCUUGUAAAACUAAACUUGACUGAUGUGUUUCACUUAGUGAGGACUCCAUUUGUUUCAUUGUAAAAAUUAGAGAGUGAUUCAGCAUUCAUGAGAAAACGUGGCAACAAAAGGUUAGCUGAACAGUAGUAGGAGUGGAGCCAUAUUGGGAGCAAUUGAAGGAGGAAAUGGUCUGGAUUUAUUGUCUGCAUUAAAGAUAUUGUGGGUCCCAUGGAUACCAGGAGUGUCAUGGAGACACAGCUAAUAGGAUUUUUAUUGGAUUAUUGUCGGGCUGUUGCACCUGCUUAUAAUGAGGAUGAUGUAGUUGAAUUUCUGGCACAACCCUUGAACAAGGAAUCAGAAAGGAGCUGAGAGAGCUGGAAGCUCUAAUAUUAAUUUUGAAGGAAAAAUUUACAAUUGCCUGAAAGCCAUUUCGAGCAAGCCAGCAGAACUGGGUAGCCUUUCUGUCUCUUUACAUAUACUAAUGUGUAGAAAAUACAUAGGUCAUUUCAGA
rnacentral:lncRNA from 1 species